CUGCCUUUUAGACUGGAACAACUUACCGAAAGGUGAGCUAAUGCCGGAUGAGUUAUAUAAGUGCAUGUUUAUAUAGGAAAAGUUGGGGAGACCUGACGCUGAAAGAUGGACUCGCGUCCCAUUAGCUAGUUGGUAGGGUAAUGGCCUACCAAGGCGACGAUGGGUAGCCGGCCUGAGAGGGUGGCCGGCCACACUGGGACUGAGACACGGCCCAGACUCCUACGGGAGGCAGCAGUGGGGAAUUUUGCGCAAUGCUCGUAAGAGUGACGCAGCGACGCCGCGUGAAUGACGAAGGCCUUCGGGUCGUAAAGUUCUUUCGACAGGGAAGAAAAUGCCUAUAAGUAACUGUGUAUGUAUUGACGGUACCUGUAUAAGCAGCCCCGGCUAACUCCGUGCCAGCAGCCGCGGUAAUACGGAGGGGGCGAGCGUUGUUCGGAGUGACUGGGCGUAAAGAGCACGUAGGCGGUGUUGUAAGUCAUUAGUCAAAGACUAGAGCUCAACUUUAGUAAGGCUAGUGAUACUAUAAUACUAGAGUAUCAGAGAGGAUUGCAGAAUUCCUGGUGUAGCGGUGAAAUGCGUAGAUAUCAGGAGGAAUACCGUUAGCGAAGGCGGCAAUCUGGCUGGAAACUGACGCUGAGGUGCGAAAGCGUGGGUAGUAAACAGGAUUAGAUACCCUGGUAGUCCNCGCUGU
rnacentral:rRNA from 1 species